rnacentral:rRNA from 1 species
AGCGUUACNAGGGAAGACAGCUAGUACGUAAGAUNGGCUCNGGGGGUAUGCGCACGAGCGCAACCCUCGUGCCCUAGUUACCAGCGGGUGAUGCCGGGCACUCUAGGGAGACUGCCGGUGUCAAACCGGAGGAAGGUGGGGAUGACGUCAAGUCAUCAUGGCCCUUACGUCCAGGGCGACACACGUGCUACAAUGGCCGGUACAGAGCGUCGCCAACCCGCGAGGGUGCGCUAAUCGCCAAAAGCCGGUCUAAGUUCGGAUUGUAGUCUGCAACUCGACUGCAUGAAGCCGGAAUCGCUAGUAAUCGUGGAUCAGCCACGCCACGGUGAAUACGUUCCCGGGCCUUGUACACACCGCCCGUCACGCCAUGGAAGCUGGGGGGACCUGAAGUCGGUGGGCUAACCGCAAGGAUGGCAGCCGCCAAAGAGUCAAUACAGUGACUGAGGGCGAAGUCGUAACAAGGUAGCCGUAGGGGAACCUGCGGCUGGAUCACCUCCUUUCUGGAGCUACAAGUACGGUCGAGGCUUGCCUCGGCCCAGAACGUCACUCGGAANGUCGCCCCGCNACAUCUAACACUNCUNGUGCUAAGCCCUCGCCCAUUCCCCCUUUCGNUGAAGUUACUUCUGUUUCCCGGGGCACCCCCCCCCGAUUGGGGGGGGGGGGGC